rnacentral:rRNA from 1 species
UACGAAGGGGGCUAGCGUUGUUCGGAAUUACUGGGCGUAAAGGGCGCGUAGGCGGCUGUGCAAGUCAGGUGUGAAAGCCCUGGGCUCAACCCAGGAUGUGCACUUGAUACUGCGCGGCUAGAGUGUCGGAGAGGAUGGUGGAAUUCCCAGUGUAGCGGUGAAAUGCGUAGAUAUUGGGAGGAACACCAGUGGCGAAGGCGGCCUUCUGGACGGUGACUGACGCUGAGGCGCGAAAGCGUGGGGAGCAAACGGG